rnacentral:rRNA from 1 species
UGGGGAAUAUUGCACAAUGGGCGCAAGCCUGAUGCAGCGACGCCGCGUGAGGGAUGACGGCCUUCGGGUUGUAAACCUCUUUCGCUAGGGACGAAGCGUAAGUGACGGUACCUGGAGAAGAAGCACCGGCCAACUACGUGCCAGCAGCCGCGGUAAUACGUAGGGUGCGAGCGUUGUCCGGAAUUACUGGGCGUAAAGAGCUCGUAGGCGGUUUGUCGCGUCGUCUGUGAAAUUCUGCAACUCAAUUGCAGGCAUGCAGGCGAUACGGGCAGACUUGAGUACUACAGGGGAGACUGGAAUUCCUGGUGUAGCGGUGAAAUGCGCAGAUAUCAGGAGGAACACCGGUGGCGAAGGCGGGUCUCUGGGUAGUAACUGACGCUGAGGAGCGAAAGCGUGGGGAGCGAACA